UACGGAGGGUGCAAACGUUGCUCGGAAUCAUUGGGCGUAAAGCGCACGUAGGCGGUCCGGCAAGUCGGGUGUGAAAGCCCUCGGCUUAACCGAGGAAGUGCAUUCGAAACUACCGGACUUGAAUACUGAAGAGGAUCGCGGAAUUCCCGGUGUAGAGGUGAAAAUUCGUAGAUAUCGGGAGGAACACCAGUGGCGAAGGCGGCGAUCUGGGCAGAUAUUGACGCUGAGGUGCGAAAGCGUGGGGAGCAAACAGG
rnacentral:rRNA from 1 species